UACGAAGGGGGCGAGCGUUGUUCGGAAUUACUGGGCGUAAAGGGCGCGUAGGCGGCGACCCAAGUCAGAUGUGAAAGUCCUGGGCUUAACCUGGGGACUGCAUUGGUGACUGGCAGGCUUUGAGUGUGGCAGAGGGAGGUAGAAUUCCACGUGUAGCAGUGAAAUGCGUAGAGAUGUGGAGGAAUACCGAUGGCGAAGGCAGCCUCCUGGGCCAACACUGACGCUCAUGCACGAAAGCGUGGGGAGCAAACAGG
rnacentral:rRNA from 1 species